rnacentral:rRNA from 1 species
UGGGGAAUAUUGGACAAUGGGGGAAACCCUGAUCCAGCGACGCCGCGUGUGUGAAGAAGGCCUGCGGGUUGUAAAGCACUUUUAGUGGGGAAGAAAAUUCUAGGUUUAAUAAACCUGGACCUUGACCUAACCCAAAGAAAAAGCACCGGCUAACUCUGUGCCAGCAGCCGCGGUAAUACAGAGGGUGCAGGCGUUAAUCGGAAUUACUGGGCGUAAAGCGUGCGUAGGUGGUUAUUUAAGUCGGAUGUGAAAUCCCCGGGCUCAACCUGGGAAUUGCAUUCGAUACUGGAUAGCUAGAGUUCGGCAGAGGGAAGUGGAAUUUCCGGUGUAGCGGUGAAAUGCGUAGAUAUCGGAAGGAACAUCAGUGGCGAAAGCGACUUCCUGGACCAGAACUGACGCUCAAGUACGAAAGCGUGGGGAGCAAACAGG